UACGGGGGGGGCAAGCGUUGUUCGGAAUUACUGGGCGUAAAGGGCUCGUAGGCGGCCAACUAAGUCCGACGUGAAAUCCCAAGGCUUAACCUUGGAACUGCGUCGGAUACUGGAUGGCUUGAAUUCGGGAGAGGGAUGCAGAAUUCCAGGUGUAGCGGUGAAAUGCGUAGAUAUCUGGAGGAAUGCCGGUGGCGAAGGCGGCAUCCUGGACCGACAUUGACGCUGAUGAGCGAAAGCUAGGGGAGCAAAGCGGG
rnacentral:rRNA from 1 species